rnacentral:rRNA from 1 species
GACGAACGCUGGCGGCGUGCUUAACACAUGCAAGUCGAGCGGUAAGGCUCCUUCGGGAGUACACGAGCGGCGAACGGGUGAGUAACACGUGGGUGAUCUGCCCUGCACUUUGGGAUAAGCCUGGGAAACUGGGUCUAAUACCGGAUAGGACUACGAACUGCAUGGUUUGUGGUGGAAAGCUUUUGCGGUGUGGGAUGGGCCCGCGGCCUAUCAGCUUGUUGGUGGGGUGAUGGCCUACCAAGGCGACGACGGGUAGCCGGCCUGAGAGGGUGUCCGGCCACACUGGGACUGAGAUACGGCCCAGACUCCUACGGGAGGCAGCAGUGGGGAAUAUUGCACAAUGGGCGCAAGCCUGAUGCAGCGACGCCGCGUGGGGGAUGACGGCCUUCGGGUUGUAAACCCCUUUCAGCACAGACGAAGCGCAAGUGACGGUAUGUGCAGAAGAAGCACCGGCCAACUACGUGCCAGCCGCCGCAGUAACAC